AAGGAUGUUGCUUUGUCGUGGCGGUGGGGUAUGUUUUGUACGGGAUGAG
rnacentral:tRNA from 1 species